AUUGAACGCUGGCGGCAUGCUUUACACAUGCAAGUCGAACGGUAACAGGCCUUCGGGUGCUGACGAGUGGCGAACGGGUGAGUAAUGCAUCGGAACGUGCCCAGAGGUGGGGGAUAACGCAGCGAAAGCUGUGCUAAUACCGCAUGUGAUCUGAGGAUGAAAGCGGGGGACCAAGCAGCAAUGUUUGGCCUCGCGCCUCUGGAGCGGCCGAUGUCAGAUUAGGUAGUUGGUGGGGUAAAGGCCUACCAAGCCGACGAUCUGUAGCUGGUCUGAGAGGUCGACCAGCCACACUGGGACUGAGACACGGCCCAGACUCCUACGGGAGGCAGCAGUGGGGAAUUUUGGACAAUGGGCGCAAGCCUGAUCCAGCAAUGCCGCGUGCGGGAAGAAGGCCUUCGGGUUGUAAACCGCUUUUGUACGGAACGAAAAGGCUCUGGCUAAUACCUGGGGCUGAUGACGGUACCGUAAGAAUAAGCACCGGCUAACUACGUG
rnacentral:rRNA from 1 species